UACGGGGGGAGCAAGCGUUGUUCGGAUUUACUGGGCGUAAAGGGCGCGUAGGCGGUCGUGACAAGUCACUUGUGAAAUCUCCGGGCUUAACUCGGAACGGUCAAGUGAUACUGUCGGACUAGAGUACAGAAGGGGCAACUGGAAUUCUCGGUGUAGCGGUGAAAUGCGUAGAUAUCGAGAGGAACACCUGCGGCGAAGGCGGGUUGCUGGGCUGAUACUGACGCUGAGGCGCGGAAAGCCAGGGGAGGCGAAACGGG
rnacentral:rRNA from 1 species